UACGGAGGGUGCAAGCGUUAUCCGGAUUCACUGGGUUUAAAGGGUGCGUAGGUGGGUUGGUAAGUCAGUGGUGAAAUCCCCGAGCUUAACUUGGGAACUGCCAUUGAUACUAUCAGUCUUGAAUACUGUGGAGGUUAGCGGAAUAUGUCAUGUAGCGGUGAAAUGCUUAGAUAUGACAUAGAACACCAAUUGCGAAGGCAGCUGGCUACACAAUUAUUGACACUGAUGCUCGAAAGCGUGGGGAUCAAACAGG
rnacentral:rRNA from 1 species